rnacentral:tRNA from 1 species
GACCAUGUAGCUCAGUAGUUAGAGCAUCAUGUGGAGUAUAUAUUACAUUAUUACGUAUCCAAGAGGUCCCAGGUUCAAAUCUUGGUAUGGUCA